AUUGAACGCUGGCGGCAUGCUUUACACAUGCAAGUCGAACGGUAACAGGUUAAGCUGACGAGUGGCGAACGGGUGAGUAAUGCAUCGGAACGUGCCCGAUCGUGGGGGAUAACGUAGCGAAAGUUACGCUAAUACCGCAUACGAUCUGAGGAUGAAAGCGGGGGACCGUAAGGCCUCGCGCGAUCGGAGCGGCCGAUGUCAGAUUAGGUAGUUGGUGGGGCAAAGGCCCACCAAGCCGACGAUCUGUAGCUGGUCUGAGAGGACGACAAGCCACACUGGGACUGCACCACGGCCCAGACUCCUACGGUAGGCAGCAGUGGGGAAUUUUGGACAAUGGGCGCAAGCCUGAUCCAGCAAUGCCGCGUGCAGGAAGAAGGCCUUCGGGUUGUAAACUGCUUUUGUACGGAGCGAAAAGGCUCUCUCUAAUACAGGGGGCUCAUGACGGUACCGUAAGAAUAAGCACCGGCUAACUACGUGCCAGCCGCCGCAGUAA
rnacentral:rRNA from 1 species